rnacentral:rRNA from 1 species
GAUGAACGCUGGCGGCGUGCCUAAUACAUGCAAGUCGAGCGAACGGACGAGAAGCUUGCUUUUCUGAUGUUAGCGGCGGACGGGUGAGUAACACGUGGAUAACCUACCUAUAAGACUGGGAUAACUUCGGGAAACCGGAGCUAAUACCGGAUAAUAUUUUGAACCGCAUGGUUCAAAAGUGAAAGACGGUCUUUCUGUCACUUAUAGAUGGAUCCGCGCUGCAUUAGCUAGUUGGUAAGGUAACGGCUUACCAAGGCAACGAUGCAUAGCCGACCUGAGAGGGUGAUCGGACACACUGGAAGUGAGACACGGUACAGACUCCGACGGGAGGCAGCAGUAGGGAAUCUUACGCAAUGGGCGAGAGCCUGACGGAGCAACGCGGCGUGAGUGAUGAAGGUCUUCGGAUCGUAAAACUCUGUUAUUAGGGAAGAACAUAUGUGUAAGUAACUGUGCACAUCUUGACGGUACCUAAUCAGAAAGCCACGGCUAACUACGUG